UGGGGAAUAUUGGGCAAUGGGCGCAAGCCUGACCCAGCGACGCCGCGUGGGUGAUGAAGGCCUUCGGGUCGUAAAGCCCUGUCAUGUGGGAAGAACUGUCUCGUAGCUAAUAUCUGCGAGAAUUGACGGUACCACAGGAGGAAGCACCGGCUAACCCCGUGUCAGCAGCCGCGGUAAUCAGGAGGGUGCAAGCGUGGUUCGGAAUUAUUGGGCGUAAAGGGCGCGUAGGCGGUUAUGUAAGUCAGAGGUGAAAUACUUCGGCUCAACUGAAGAACUGCAUUUGAUACUAUAUAGCUAGAGUACAGAAGAGGGAAAUGGAAUUCCCGGUGUAGAGGUGAAAUUCGUAGAUAUCGGGAGGAACACCAGUGGCGAAGGCGAUUUCCUGGUCUGAUACUGACGCUGAGGCACGAAAGCGUGGGGAGCAAACA
rnacentral:rRNA from 1 species